rnacentral:snRNA from 1 species
UACUUACCUGGACGGGGUCUAUGGAUGAUCAAGAAGGCUCAUGGCCUAGAUCAAUGGUUCAUAUUGCACGUAGUGAGUGCGUUGAUCUACCAUCUUCUUUGGGAGAGUGGACGUUAUAAUUUAUGA